rnacentral:rRNA from 1 species
CAGCAGCCACGGGAAUACGUAGGGUGCAAGCGUUAAUCGGAAUUACUGGGCGUAAAGCGUGCGCAGGCGGUUAUAUAAGACAGAUGUGAAAUCCCCGGGCUCAACCUGGGAACUGCAUUUGUGACUGUAUAGCUAGAGUACGGCAGAGGGGGAUGGAAUUCCGCGUGUAGCAGUGAAAUGCGUAGAUAUGCGGAGGAACACCGAUGGCGAAGGCAAUCCCCUGGGCCUGUACUGACGCUGAUGCACGAAAGCGUGGGGAGCAAACAGGAUUAGAUACCCCGGUAGUCCCUGUCUCUUAUAC